AAGCAAAACUUUAUGGCAGAUGUCCAAAACUAGUCAUCUGGCAUGAUUUGAGUUUUCUACAGCGAGAAAGUCUCACAGAUUCCAGCAUUCUCUCCCCUCUAUGAGACAUGUUAUUAUAUAGACAUAAACAUC